rnacentral:rRNA from 1 species
CCUCAAAUCAGGUAGGAUUACCCGCUGAACUUAAGCAUAUCAAUAAGCGGAGGAAAAGAAACUAACAAGGAUUCCCCUAGUAACGGCGAGUGAAGCGGGAUGAGCUCAAAUUUAAAAUCUAGCAGCCUCAGGUUGUUCGAGUUGUAGUCUAGAGAAGCGUUUUCCGCGUUGGCCUGUGUACAAGUCCCUUGGAAUAGGGCGUCAUAGAGGGUGAGAAUCCCGUCCUUGACACAGAUCCCAAUGCUUUGUGAUACGCUCUCAAAGAGUCGAGUUGUUUGGGAAUGCAGCUCAAAAUGGGUGGUAAAUUCCAUCUAAAGCUAAAUAUAGGCGAGAGACCGAUAGCGAACAAGUACCGUGAGGGAAAGAUGAAAAGCACUUUGGAAAGAGAGUUAAACAGUACGUGAAAUUGUUGAAAGGGAAACGAUUGAAGUCAGUCAUGCUUCUCUAGAUUCAGCUUGGUCUCCAAGUGUAUUUCUAGUUUUGCAGGCCAGCAUCAGUUUUGUUUGGUGGAAAAAGCUUGAGGAACGUGGCAACUCCGGUUGUGUUAUAGCCUCUUUGCGCAUACAUCAGAUGGGACUGAGGAACGCAGUGUGCCUUUAUGGUCGGUCUUCGGACACGUACGCAC